CAAUCAUUUAUAUACAACAAAAUAGAAAAAUUCAAUGGUUUAAGUUGACGUGUUUAUCAACAACUGAAUCAACUUCUCAAUUUUCGCGAAUAAAACUAGAGCUGAGGAACUAACUUCUUGACUUUUGUUAUAGCAAAUAAGUUAUGCAAGGUGUUGGGACAAACUAUAGUGGUGGUUCACAUUGUGAAUGGUGCGGAAAGCCACUAAAGUUGGAGGUUUAAGUUGUAUAAAGAAGUUAGGAGAGUGUCGUGGCAUGGUAAUUGUAUUAUAAGUAGUUGAGCUCUUCUAUGUGUCUUCCUUGGUGCUGGAGGGAGGUUAGCUUGGUCUCAAUUAUUAAGCACUUUACUUCAAAGGUACAAAUGAAAAAUGUUAAAUAUGAGGAGGUAACAGGUUAAUGGGUGCUAGUAGGUGCUUUUUCCCCUAUAUCAUCCAGGGAUUGUAAAAGACCAACUAUGUGACAUGGCAUUCGGCGGACUAAGCUCUUGGCAAGGUCGACCUUCGUCGAAUUAUAUCUUCAUCUUCAUGCGUUGGAUGAGAAUGCUUUGGUGGCUAGGGAAGAACGAUCGUGUUCCUCUACCAUUGCAGGAAUGAUAAUAAUGUUGAAACUCCAUAUGUCUUAAACAUCCUCAUUACAAAUACAAGUUCUUAGUUACAUCAGCGACAUAUCGGAUAAGCUAUGUUCUGGCUAAUGGAAGAUGCUUCCUUUACACCUAUUUGAAGCGAGUUUUCACUUACCCCUUCAUCCUUGGUUUGUUGAGAUGCUAUAGUUGUUCUACAUUUCUUCUGAACAAUUAUCAAAGAACUCUUGGCACUUAUUAGUAUUGUA